GAUUAACGUUGGCAGCGUGCCUAAUACAUGUAAGUCGAACGAAUCUUCUUCGGAAGAUGAGUGGCGAACGGGUGAGUAAUACAUAGGUAACCUGCCCCUGUGCGGGGGAUAACAGGAGGAAACUCCUGCUAAUACCGCAUAGCCAUGAGCACCGCAUGGAGCUCAUGCCAAAUAUCCUUCAGGGGAUAGCGCAGGGAUGGACCUAUGGCGCAUUAGCUAGUUGGCGGGGCAACGGCCCACCAAGGCGACGAUGCGUAGCCGGCCUGAGAGGGCGGACGGCCACAUUGGGACUGAGACACGGCCCAGACUCCUACGGGAGGCAGCAGUAGGGAAUUUUCGGCAAUGGGGGAAACCCUGACCGAGCAACGCCGCGUGAGCGAAGAAGGCCUUCGGGUCGUAAAGCUCUGUUGUAAAGGAAGAAUGUCGCAUGCAGGAAAUGGUGUGCGAGUGACGGUAUUUUACCAGAAAGCCACGGCUAACUACGUGCCAGCAGCCGCCGUAA
rnacentral:rRNA from 1 species